rnacentral:lncRNA from 1 species
AAUAUACUGUAAUUAAAGUUAUAUGAAUAGUUUUUCUCUCAACUAGUAUAAAGUGGGUAGUAUAUAUAGUGUGGAUAUGCUACUCUGGAUAGAGGAGGACACAAGAUUUCAUCACUAAACUGUAAUUUUAUACUUAAGAAUUGCAUAUGUAGUCACAUCAAUGUUUAUAGCAGCUCAAUUCAUAAUAGCCAACCUAUAGAACCAAUCGAGGUGCCCUUCAACAGAUGAAUGGAUAAAGAAAAUGUGACAUAUACACACAAUGGAAUAUUAAUCAGCCAUAAAGAAGAAUGAAAUUAGGCCAAUGUUCUCUCUGAUAUGUGGAUGCUAACUCACAACAAGGGAGGUAGGGAGGGGAAGAAUAGGUGUUCAUUGGAUUAGACAAAGGGGAAUGAAAGGAAGAAAGGGGGCAUGGGAAUACAAAAGACAGUAGAAUCAAUCAGACAUAACUUUCCUUUGCUCAUAAAUGAAUACACAACUGUGUAACUCCACAUUAUAUACAAACACAAGAAUGAGAUCCUAAUUGGAAUGGGUUGUACUCCAUGUAUGUAUAAUAUGUCAUAAUAUACUAUACUGUCAUGUAUGUCUAAACACAACAAAUAAAAAUAAAAAAAGAAUUACUUUGUCCGUAAUUUUCCCUUAAUAUUUUCAGACCGGGAGGGAUAUAGCUCAGUGGUAGUGCACUUGCCUAGCAUAUGCAAAGUCCUGAGUUCGAUCCCCAGUACCACCAAAAAAAGUAAAAGUUUAAGACUUCAAACAAGGUUAUCAAUUAAAAGCUUCUUAAUUUGUAGCCGGGUACAGUGACACACACACCUGAGAGAGGAGGAUUUUGAGUUCAAAAUCAGCCUCAGCAAAAGUGAAGUGCUAAGCAACCCACUGAGACCCUGUUAGGCCUGGGGAUG